CUUCAAGCCAAAAGUGAAAAGCAAUAUCUGAUGCUGGAGGAAAGAAACAAGGAGUUAACUAAGGAAUAUAGUCACCUAAAAGAGAGUAUUAAUCAGUAUGAAAAUGAGGCAAUGGAAAGAGAAGUGGUUGUGGAACAACUUCAACAAGAACUGGCUGAUUCCCUAAAAAAGCAGUCGCUGUCUGAGGCUUCAUUGGAACUCAUGUUACGUGAUUGUGCUAAAUUAGAAGAUGAGAGACAGGAUUUAAAGAAGAAAGUACAUCAAAUGACAAGUAAAUUGCAAGAAGCACAAGAACUACAUAUAGAAGCUCUGAAGUGUGCUGAGGAGACCCAGGAUCACAUGCAAAAGCUUGAAAUUCAAACUGCCAAGUUAAAAGUGAUGAACAAAAAGCAAGUUGCCAAAAUUGAACAGCUUCGGAGAAACUCACUAAGUACAAGUUUGUCUGAGCAAGAAAAGGAAGAAUUACAGCAACUUAUGGAGUUAAAACAGUUUCUGGAAAGCCAGUUGGAUCGGCAAAAGAAGAAAAAUGAUGGAUUAGAAAAAGAGAUUACUGGAUUGAAGGAAUGCUUGGAAAUGGCAAGAAGGGAAGUAAAUGAAAAUGAAAAAGGAGAGCCUAGUGCCCAUGGUGUUGUAAAAAUCAAUCCAACUGAAAUGGAUAUUCAGAUAGAUACGCUAAAACAUAAGGUAAUUUGUAUUCAGUUUGGGGGCCCAAAAACUCUUAAUUUGGGGAAUUAUAAGUCACUCGGUACUUUGAGCAGUGAACCACA
rnacentral:lncRNA from 1 species